UUCUUCUGGUUGACCUCGGAUCAGGUAGGGAUACCCGCUGAACUUAAGC
rnacentral:rRNA from 1 species